GAUGAACGCUGGCGGCGCGCCUAACACAUGCAAGUCGAACGAUUAAAGCACCUUCGGGUGUGUAUAAAGUGGCGAACGGCUGAGUAACACGUGGGCAACCUGCCCCUCUCAUUGGGAUAGCCACGGGAAACCGUGGAUAAUACCGAAUACUUCGGGACUUCCGCAUGGAAGACUCGAGAAAGCUCCGGCGGAGAGGGAUGGGCCCGCGGCCUGUUAGCUUGUUGGUGGGGUAAUGGCCUACCAAGGCAAUGAUGGGUAGCUGGGUUGAGAGACCGACCAGCCAGAUUGGGACUGAGACACGGCCCAGACUCCUACGGGAGGCAGCAGUGGGGAAUCUUGCACAAUGGGCGAAAGCCUGAUGAAGCGACGCCGCGUGCGGGAUGAAGGCCUUCGGGUUGUAAACCGCUUUCAGCAGGGACGAGGCGAAAGUGACGGUACCUGCAGAAGAAGCCCCGGCUAACUACGUG
rnacentral:rRNA from 1 species